rnacentral:rRNA from 1 species
UACAGAGGUCUCAAGCGUUGUUCGGAUUCAUUGGGCGUAAAGGGUGCGUAGGCGGCGUGGUAAGUCGGGUGUGAAAUCUCGGAGCUUAACUCCGAAACUGCAUUCGAUACUGCCGUGCUUGAGGACUGGAGAGGAGACUGGAAUUUACGGUGUAGCAGUGAAAUGCGUAGAGAUCGUAAGGAAGACCAGUGGCGAAGGCGGGUCGUCUGGACAGUUCCUGACACUGAGGCACGAAGGCCAGGGGAGCAAACGGGG